rnacentral:rRNA from 1 species
UACGGAGGAGGCAAGCGUUAUCCGGAAUUAUUGGGCGUAAAGCGUCCGCAGGUGGCACUUCAAGUCUGUCGUCAAAGACUGGGGCUUAACCCUGGAAAGGCGGUGGAAACUGAAGCGCUAGAGUGCGGUAGGGGUAGAGGGAAUUCCCGGUGUAGCGGUGAAAUGCGUAGAGAUCGGGAAGAACAUCGGUGGCGAAAGCGCUCUACUGGAUCGCAACUGACACUCAGGGACGAAAGCUAGGGGAGCGAAUGGG